AACGAACGCUGGCGGCAUGCCUAACACAUGCAAGUCGAACGAUACCUUCGGGUCUAGUGGCGCACGGGUGCGUAACGCGUGGGAACCUUCCCUUAGGUUCGGAAUAACUCCCCGAAAGGGGUGCUAAUACCGGAUAAUGUCUUCGGACCAAAGAUUUAUCGCCUUUGGAUGGGCCCGCGUUGGAUUAGCUAGUUGGUAGGGUAAAAGCCUACCAAGGCGACGAUCCAUAGCUGGUCUGAGAGGAUGAUCAGCCACACUGGGACUGAGACACGGCCCAGACUCCUACGGGAGGCAGCAGUGGGGAAUAUGGGACAAUGGGCGAAAGCCUGAUCCAGCAAUGCCGCGUGAGUGAUGAAGGCCUUAGGGUUGUAAAGCUCUUUUACCCGGGAUGAUAAUGACAGUACCGGGAGAAUAAGCUCCGGCUAACUCCGUG
rnacentral:rRNA from 1 species